rnacentral:piRNA from 1 species
GCAAGCUCUAAACUACUCCACUGGGGUGA